GCUUGGCAUAAUUCUAUGUUUAAAACAUUUUGAACAGUUUCCAUGCCAGGUAGUGCAACCCAAGAAAACCCAUCAAAACAUGAUGAAUAUCAUAAAGUAUGAAUAUCAUGAAAUAAUUUAUUAUUUAAAUCAUAUAUAAAAACUUGAUAUCAAGGACAAAGGUUAAAAUUGUGCAGGUGGUGCAACCGGAAUCAGUAUUACUACUAAUUAUAAAUGCAGUUUACAAGUAGGAAUAAACAUUGAUGAAGUGUAGACACUUAACCUUAUGGGAAUUGACAGGGCUUCAUGUUUGAUUGGGCCAAUUUUUUGCCUUUGGUUUGGUUACUAUAUAACCUCAGAUGUGAAUUAUGUCUGAUAGCUGAAAUGAAAGCUGACCAUUGAUUGCAGUAACUUGGAUAAUUCAAAUUCAUAACUUCUGUCUAAAAAGUCAAAAAAUUUGACAAAAAAGUCAAACAAAUACAAAAACACAUCUUUGUGUUUUGGUAUUUUGUGAAUAUCUCAAAAACUACAUGAUGGAUUAUAUCAAAGUUAAAAUAUGUGGUUCUCAGACUUGUUUUCUAAAUGUACACCUAAUUUUAUUGUGCUAAAAUGCUUUUAUAAAAUUAAAUUAUGUGAAAUAUACAAAUAUCUCCUGCUCCUUCAGUAUUUCCUCCAAAGAAAGUGUACAUUCGACACAAGCAUUGUCUUUUUUUAGUUAAAUAUAUGUGUAACAGCAAUUCUGUGACCAUUGUAUUCUGUGACUCCAGUAGAUACUGUUGCCACUAUAUAGCUUGAGCUUGCUCACACAGAUGUGUUCCUAACGCAAACAAUGUAAACUCAUACGUUGUAAACAAAUGAAUGUCAAUGCGAUGUAGAGUGGGUGUAUAGAAAUGCUGGCUUUUAACAUGAUAUAGGUUUAGCUGCUUGUUAUAUCAGAUUAAACAAAAUUAGGCUGAUUUGUAGAGUAGCCUAUUUGUAUAAUUCUAACACAACUAAAAAGUGAUUAAAGCUCACAUGGGCAACUUGAUGCUAUGAGUAUACAGUCAAAGUAAAAAGUAUGUGAACCCCUUGGAAUUUAUUCAUAAAAAGUGAUCUGAUCUUCAUCUAAGUCACAGGUACUGAUAUACACAAUGAGCUUAAGCCAAUAACACAAAAAAGGUUCUACUCUUUCAAGUUUUUAUUAUUCAAACAUAUUCAGCAUUCACAGUGGUACUGGAGAAGGUAAGUGAACCCUUAGGUUCAAUAACUGGUUGACCCUCCUUUGGCAGCAAUGACCGCAACCAGGCACUUCCUGUAAUUGCAGAUCAGACCUGCACAUCGUGUGGAGAGAGUUUUAGCCCAUUCUUCCCCUGCAAAACUGCCUUAACUCUUCCAUAUUCUUUGGUUGCCUUCUGUGUAUUGCUCUCUUAAAGUUAUUCCACAGCAUCUCAAUAGGAUUGAGAUUGGGGCUCUGACUGGGCCACUCCACUGCGAUGUUUGGGGUCAUUGUCCUGUUACAUCACCCAGCCUCAGUUGAAGGACAGACAUUCUCACAUUAUCCUGAAGAAUUUGCUGAUAAAGUUGGGAAUUCAUUUUCCCCUCAAUGAUGGCGAGCUUUCCAGACCCUGAUGCAGCAAAGCAGACCCAAAUCAUGAUGUUCCCUCCACCAUACUUUACUGUAGGGAUGAUGCAUUUAUCUUUUUACGCCAAAUGAAGUUCUGCUUGUUCCUCCCAAAUAGUUCAAUUUUAGUUUCAUCACUCCACAAAACAUUUUCCCAGUAUCGCUGUGGAGUGUCCAAGUGCUCCUUCGCAAACUUCAGGCGUACAGCAAUGUUUGACAGCAGUGGCUUCCUUCUUGGUGCUCUGCCAUGGACUCCUUUCUAGCUGAUUCAUGAACACAGAUGCUAGACAGUUCUAAUGACUUCUUCAAGUCUUUCGCUGUCACUUUAGGAUUCUUCUUUUCCUCAAAGAUGACUUUGCGUUGUGCUAUUGGGGUCAUCUUGGCAGGGCGCCCACUUCUAGGCAGAGUAGCCACGGUACCAAAUUGUCUCCAUUUAUAGACAACUUGCCUAAUAGUUUAUAUUAAUAAUAAUAUAAUAAUAAUUUAUAGACAACUUGCCAACAGUAGACUAAUGAAUAUGUAAAAUCUUUGAGACAACUUUGUAACCCUUUCCAGCCUUAUGUAACUUAACAAUUCUUGAUCUUAGGUCUUCAGACAGCUCUUUUGUGCGAGGCAUGAUUCCCAUCUGGACAUGCUUCUUGUCAAAAGCCCAAACUGAACCUUUUCAGUGGUUUUUAUCAACCAAAGUAAUUCUAGGCCACACCCCUGAACUCGUUUCAUUAAAUGGACUCCAGGUGUGCUAAAUUUUUAAGCUUUUAAAAAAAGUCAUUUACUUGGGGUUCACUUACUUUUUCCUACUUUAUACAAUAUGGUCAAAUAUUCUCUGAAAAUCUGUGUAUCUUAAUUAUAGGACACAGUGUUUGUAAAUUAUUGUGACUUACAUGAAGAUUCAACUAUGUUUUAUAUGGGAUUUAGUCAUACACGUAGAAAAUUCCAAGGGGUUCACAUACUUUUUACUUUGAACAUAUUUAAAUGGGCCACUCUAACCUGCGAGAGAGUGCCUGUUGGAAAGGCCGUCUCCGAAAACGGGAUGCCAACGCGCAUACGCUUGGAUCAGCGUCAGGAGCGUCUCUUUUGAGUUUUCAGAGGUGGUUUUCUGAUUGUGCCGCACCAGAUCAUCCUACCCAGUGCCGAACGAUCCUGGCCAGUUACUCACCAUACUCAGGGGUGCAGUAUUGUGUGCCACUGACGAACUGUAAGUGACUGGUCCUGGACUGAUUACAUUCGGUGCUUUAAUAUUGCAAUGCGGUCUACCGGAUUGUUAGUUGUUAGUGUGUAACUUUUGAGGAGCUCUGCUACUGAGUGUAUUGCAGGCAGAUUCUCUGUAUUCUGCGUUCGUUCUUGUAAUUGUGUAUCUUAUAUAUUAAAUUUGUUUUGUUAGUCAGUUCUCGUUAGACUGCAAAAUAUUUAGGAGAGAUGGGAUAAUACAGUAAGGGAGGGUAAUAGUAUUACUGUUACGUAUCCGGUAUGUACCGGGGUUAACCAAUAGAUGGCAGUACUGUUACAUGAUUGAUGAUUAGAGAUCGUAUAAAGUGGUUGUAUUUGUGUUAAUUAGCUGAACAUGUCUCCAUGUUCUUAUUGUUUUAGUUAUUUAUAUAAUAUUAUUUUCUUCCUUAGACCACAUGCACACCCUGUCUACAACUAAGUCAUUGCACCUGUAACAGCCAAUGGCCAGCCUACAGUAUGUUAACUCCAGUGCAAUACUGUACCGCCUAAUUGAAUGCAGUAAAGUUUGGAACUGCGUCUGCCUUCCCUGGUGUUCUUACCGAUGCCACCAGAGAGGUGCCAUCUUACCGAUCAGCACAGGGAAGCAGGCGAAGGAAGCCGUGGAUAAAAAAAGGGUUUUAUUUGCAGAGGAACAUACGUAACGUUAAUGACAGAACUAGGAAAACGCAUGUGAACGCGGUCUGCAAAUACACUGAACUAACAACAGCAACCAGAAACAGCUGGUGAACACAGGGACUCUGCACGAGGUUAACGAGGGGGCAUGAUCGACGAGAGGGCAGGACGAAUGGAGCAUGACAUUACCCAAUGGGAGUGAAGGGACUAACAGGACCUAGAGAAACAAAAGCAAAACAUCAAUGAGGAACCGGGAACAGGACAGACACACAGAGCAGACACAGGGACAAGAAGCAGGAAAACCACUGACAAACCAACGGGAACGCAGACAGGCACAGGGGCACCAAGAACGGAGACACUGGGGGAACACCAACAGGAGGAAAAAAAGGACCAGGAGCGAACAAAGGAGCGGAGCGACGAGGAGCAGACACAGAGGUACGAAAACAGGAGGCAGGAUGGUAGAGGACAGGGGAAAAUGGGGAGCCCGAGGGAACCCCAGUAGGCAAGAGGCAGAAGCUGCAGAGGCAGCCGGCGACUGCGAGGUUGGAGCCGAAGGGACCUUCGGCAACAGCGAGGCAGGAGCAGGAGGGGACGACGAAGGGGGCAAGGAGGCAGAUGGAGGGACAGGCAAAGGAGGUGAAGAGGAAGAUAACCAGAGGAGGCGAAGAGGAAGGCGAAGGGGGCACUGGGAGAGGGGAAGAGUGAACAGCAGCCACAGCCGGCCCAGGCAUAGGUGACCGAUGAGUCGGAGCGGGGGAACCCGCAGACGACCGAUGAGUUAACGGAGGCGGGGCCGAAGAGUCAUCGGAGAAGCACCCACAGGCGACCGCCAAGCAGGAGUCCAGGGAACCGCAGGCGACCGCUGAGCAGGAACCGAAGGACCCGCAGGUGCUGCAUGAGUCCCAGCCACAGGGACCGAGGAUGAGCCAGGGGGCAGGGCAGGCAGGAACCAACCCCUGCGCAAGUGACCUCUCCCCCUCCUGGAUAUGAAGAGCCCAAUUCCUGGUUGGGAUCUGCCAAGUGGGGGUAACAGAGCUGGGGUUCGCGCCUUGGCAGUGGGUGCAGGCGAAGUAGCAACAGGCAGACGGGCUUGGGCUCCGGGCCCAAGCGCAGGCGACGUCAGGUUUGGUUCCUUUUGGCAUACUGCGGGGGAAAUGGCGGAGAUGGAGACGGCCCCUAGGGAAACGUGCAACGCUUUCCCUCGUCGCUUUCCCUGCUUCUCUCUCCCCCGAACAAGCGCAACGAGGUCCGGCAAUUCAUGUGGAAUAAAAGGACAAAGACUGUAAUCGCCCCCUACCUGCUGGAUCAUGUCCUCAGCUACCCAGCUCUUCAGCCGGGCUAAAUGCCACCAUACCUCUGCUGUGAGGCGCGGGUCUUCGGCAGGGGAGAAGUGGGUCAAGAUUUCCCUUGACCGGCGAGCGACGGCUUGCGCCGUGGGGUCUCCCUUCAUUUUGGACUCCUUGAGCCAGUAUUCUACCUCGUCCAAAAGGUCAAGGUGUUCCGCCUCAUGGAAGGGAGGCAUCUUCUCCUGUAGUCCUGUCAUUCUGUCACGGAUCAGUACAGGGAAGCAGGCGAAGGAAGCCGUGGUAAUAAAAAGGGUUUUAUUUGAAGGGGAACAUAUGUUAAUGACAGGACUAGGAAAACGUACUUGAACGCGGACUGAAAUACACUGAACUAACAACAGCAACUAGAAAUAGGUGGUGAAUACGGAGACUCCACAUGAGGUUAACGAGGGGGCGUGGUCGACGAGAGGGCAGGACAAAAUAUGUGUCCGCCGCCUUCUGUCCAUCUAGUAUUUUUGCAUGUGUAUGUGCGUUUGUAUAUAUACUGUACAUGUGUCCGCCUUCUUCUCUCCAUGUAGUAUAUACAAUGAGGGAAAUAAUUAUUUUUAUAGUUUGUAACUGUUACAUAAUGACUUUUUCUUGCUUGUUUUGUUAAUAAUCUAUCUUUUGCUGGUUCAAUAAACAUACCAGUGAAAUUACA